AUUGAACGCUGGCGGCAGGCCUAACACAUGCAAGUCGAGCGAGCGGCGGACGGGUGAGUAAUGUCUGGGAAACUGCCUGAUGGAGGGGGAUAAAUACUGGAAACGGUAGAUAAUACCGCAUAUCCUCAGAUGUGCCCAGAUGGGAUUAGCUAGUAGGUGGGGUAACGUAUCACCUGGGCGACGCUCCCUCGCUGGUCUGAGAGGAUGACCAGCCACACGGGAACUGAGACACGGUCCAGACUCCUACGGGAGGCAGCAGUGGGGAAUAUUGCACAAUGGGCGCAAGCCUGAUGCAGCCAUGCCGCGUGUAUGAAGAAGGCCUUCGGGUUGUAAAGUACGUUCAGCGGGGAGGCGUUACCCGCAGAAGAAGCACCGGCUAACUCCGUGCCAGCAGCCGCGGUAAUUC
rnacentral:rRNA from 1 species